rnacentral:rRNA from 1 species
AUUGAACGCUGGCGGCAUGCCUUACACAGGCAAGUCGAACGGCAGCACGGGAGCAAUCCUGGUGGCGAGUGGCGAACGGGUGAGUAAUAUAUCGGAACGUGCCCAGUCGUGGGGGAUAACGCAGCGAAAGCUGUGCUAAUACCGCAUACGAUCUCUGGAUGAAAGCGGAGGACCGUAAGGCCUCGCGCGAUUGGAGCGGCCGAUAUCAGAUUAGCUAGUUGGUGGGGUAAAGGCCCACCAAGGCGACGAUCUGUAGCUGGUCUGAGAGGACGACCAGCCAAACUGGAACUGAGACACGGUCCAGACUCCUACGGGAGGCAGCAGUGGGGAAUUUUGGACAAUGGGCGCAAGCCUGAUCCAGCAAUGCCGCGUGCAGGAUGAAGGCCUUCGGGUUGUAAACUGCUUUUGUACGGAACGAAACGGCGAGCUCUGAUAAAGUUUGCUAAUGACGGUACCGUAAGAAUAAGCACCGGCUAACUACGUGCCAGCAGCCACCGUAA